UCCCUGGUGGUCCAAUGACUAAGACACUGCAAUCCCAAUGCAGAGGGUCCAGGUUCAAUCCUUGGUCAGGGAA
rnacentral:tRNA from 1 species